rnacentral:rRNA from 1 species
AUUGAACGCUGGCGGCAUGCUUUACACAUGCAAGUCGAACGGCAGCGCGGGCUUCGGCCUGGCGGCGAGUGGCGAACGGGUGAGUAAUACAUCGGAACGUGCCCAGUAGUGGGGGAUAGCUCGGCGAAAGCCGGAUUAAUACCGCAUACGACCUGAGGGUGAAAGCGGGGGAUCUUCGGACCUCGCGCUAUUGGAGCGGCCGAUGGCAGAUUAGCUAGUUGGUGGGGUAAAGGCCUACCAAGGCGACGAUCUGUAGCUGGUCUGAGAGGACGACCAGCCACACUGGGACUGAGACACGGCCCAGACUCCUACGGGAGGUAGCAGUGGGGAAUUUUGGACAAUGGGCGAAAGCCUGAUCCAGCAAUGCCGCGUGUGUGAUGAAGGCCUUCGGGUUGUAAAGCACUUUUGGCGGGAACGAAAAGGACUGUGCCAAUACCACGGUUCGAUGACGGUACCCGCAGAAUAAGCACCGGCUAACUACGUG